rnacentral:rRNA from 1 species
AUUGAACGCUGGCGGCAGGCCUAACACAUGCAAGUCGAACGGUAACAGGAAGCAGCUUGCUGCUUUGCUGACGAGUGGCGGACGGGUGAGUAAUGUCUGGGAAACUGCCUGAUGGAGGGGGAUAACUACUGGAAACGGUAGCUAAUACCGCAUAACGUCGCAAGACCAAAGAGGGGGACCUUCGGGCCUCUUGCCAUCGGAUGUGCCCAGAUGGGAUUAGCUAGUAGGUGGGGUAACGGCUCACCUAGGCGACGAUCCCUAGCUGGUCUGAGAGGAUGACCAGCCACACUGGAACUGAGACACGGUCCAGACUCCUACGGGAGGCAGCAGUGGGGAAUAUUGCACAAUGGGCGCAAGCCUGAUGCAGUCAUGCCGCGUGUAUGAAGAAGGCCUUCGGGUUGUAAAGUACUUUCAGCGGGGAGGAAGGGAGUAAAGUUAAUACCUUUGCUCAUUGACGUUACCCGCAGAAGAAGCACCGGCUAACUCCGUG